rnacentral:tRNA from 1 species
CGCGGGGUGGAGCAGCCUGGUAGCUCGUCGGGCUCAUAACCCGAAGGUCGUCGGUUCAAAUCCGGCCCCAGGUCGUCGGUUCAAAUCCGGCCCCCGCAACCA